rnacentral:piRNA from 1 species
UCGGACUGAGGAACUGCGUUCAGUGC